rnacentral:snoRNA from 1 species
UCUCUCCAAGGAUCACACCUGGAGAGUUUCCAGUACUCUACCAGUCUUGGUUAUGGGAGGAAGAGCCAAGCAGAGGCAUACUCAUUCCAUUCCUAGCUCGGGCAGUGGCUGGCAACUGGAAGGCAAUCUGCUUCAAGU